rnacentral:rRNA from 1 species
CACGUAGGGUGCGAGCGUUGUCCGGAAUUAUUGGGCGUAAAGAGCUCGUAGGCGGUGUGUCGCGUCGGCCGUGAAAACCUGCAGCUUAACCCUGAGCUUGCAGUGGGUACGGGCAGACUAGAGUGCGGUAGGGGAGACUGGAAUUCCGUGGUGUAGCGGUGAAAUGCGCAGAUAUCAGGAGGGAACACCGGUGGCCGAAG